AGAAUCAACGCUGGCGGCGUGCCUAACACAUGCAAGUCGCACGAGAAAGGGGAGCAAUUCCUGAGUAAAGUGGCGCACGGGUGAGUAACACGUGAAUAAUCUACCUCCGAGUGGGGAAUAACUGAGAGAAAUCUUAGCUAAUACCGCAUAACACUUACGAGUCAAAGCAGCAAUGCGCUUGGAGAGGAGUUCGCGGCCGAUUAGUUAGUUGGCGGGGUAAUGGCCCACCAAGACGAUGAUCGGUAUCCGGCCUGAGAGGGCGCACGGACACACUGGAACUGAAACACGGUCCAGACUCCUACGGGAGGCAGCAGUGGGGAAUUUUGCGCAAUGGGGAAACCCUGACGCAGCAACGCCGCGUGGAGGAUGAAGCCCCUUGGGGUGUAAACUCCUUUCGAUCGGGAAGAUAAUGACGGUACCGAUAUAAGAACGCCCGGCUAACUUCGUGCCAGCAGCCGC
rnacentral:rRNA from 1 species